rnacentral:rRNA from 1 species
GUGGGGAAUCUUGCGCAAUGGACGAAAGCCUGACGCAGCCAUGCCGCGUGAAUGAUGAAGGUCUUAGGAUUGUAAAAUUCUUUCACCGGGGACGAUAAUGACGGUACCCGGAGAAGAAGCCCCGGCUAACUUCGUGCCAGCAGCCGCGGUAAUACGAAGGGGGCUAGCGUUGCUCGGAAUUACUGGGCGUAAAGGGCGCGUAGGCGGACAGUUUAGUCAGAGGUGAAAGCACAGGGCUCAACCUUGGAAUUGCCUUUGAUACUGGCUGUCUUGAGUACGGGAGAGGUGAGUGGAACUCCGAGUGUAGAGGUGAAAUUCGUAGAUAUUCGGAAGAACACCAGUGGCGAAGGCGGCUCACUGGCUCGAUACUGACGCUGAGGUGCGAAAGCGUGGGGAGCAAACAGGAUUAGAAACCCGAGUAGUCC